rnacentral:tRNA from 1 species
GCAGGUCCUGGGUGAUGUUGUCCCGGAUCAUCGCGGCUUCGAACUGCGCACCUCGUCCGAGGUGCGGCACCUCGGUGCCUUCG